AACGCUAGCUACAGGCUUAACACAUGCAAGUCGAGGGGAAACGACAUCGAAAGUUUGCUUUUGAUGGGCGUCGACCGGCGCACGGGUGAGUAACGCGUAUCCAACCUGCCCACCACUUGGGGAUAACCUUGCGAAAGUAAGACUAAUACCCAAUGACGUCUCUAGAAGACAUCUGAAAGAGAUUAAAGAUUUAUCGGUGAUGGAUGGGGAUGCGUCUGAUUAGCUUGUUGGCGGGGUAACGGCCCACCAAGGCGACGAUCAGUAGGGGUUCUGAGAGGAAGGUCCCCCACAUUGGAACUGAGACACGGUCCAAACUCCUACGGGAGGCAGCAGUGAGGAAUAUUGGUCAAUGGACGAGAGUCUGAACCAGCCAAGUAGCGUGCAGGAUGACGGCCCUAUGGGUUGUAAACUGCUUUUAUAAGGGAAUAAAGUGAGCCUCGUGAGGCUUUUUGCAUGUACCUUAUGAAUAAGGACCGGCUAAUUCCGUGCCAGCAGCCGCGGUAAUACGGAAGGUCCGGGCGUUAUCCGGAUUUAUUGGGUUUAAAGGGAGCGUAGGCCGGAGAUUAAGCGUGUUGUGAAAUGUAGAUGCUCAACAUCUGAACUGCAGCGCGAACUGGUUUCCUUGAGUACGCACAAAGUGGGCGGAAUUCGUGGUGUAGCGGUGAAAUGCUUAGAUAUCACGAAGAACUCCGAUUG
rnacentral:rRNA from 1 species